CAUCUGUGCAUUACUUGUGUUGUUAUAAAUUUGGCAACACUUCAGCAGCAAGCUACUGUUUAUAACAAGAGAUCCCAGCAGCUAAAAGAAGACGUUCAUUUGGAUUACUCAUAACUUGCCUUGUGAACUGCUCAAGGGAAUUUCUUGAAGAACUCUGUCAAAAUCACCUUUAGAAACAAUUAAUUUGAGAGCUUUUAUCAAUACAUAAGAAAUGUUCCGAGAUUAUUGCUGGCCAAGUUGGUAGGCUUGCAAGGAAGAUUCUUUUUGCUGGCACUGAGAGAAAAUUUUCUCAUUUUGUGCACGGAAACAAGGAUAAAAUAAGCUUCUUUCCUCUCUGCAAAAAGAAAUCUGACGCAGUGGGAACUCAAUCACCCGGAUACCAUGAAUGCUUGCAGAAGGAUACAUUCUCUCCGUGCUCACAGACAGAAAACUAAUGGAAACACAAGUGAGAAUUGGCACAGCACCUCUGGGUUCAAGCACCAGCAUGGAGAUGAUCUUGUUACAGUCCACACCCUUUACACAGUGAUCAUCAUGAUCCUUCUAGGGGCACUAUGGGGAGCCUGGUCAAGAAAGGAUUCGUCCUUAUAGCAGCAAUAAGCAACUUUCUUUGUCAAAUAUUUAAAGAGAUAGUUGUGUCAGUUAUCCAUACUCAAGAGGUACAAAAAAAUGGUCUCAGUGUAUUUCAGUUUACUUGAAGCUGCUUAAAUGGUUGCUACUUGUGGAAGUGAAUCUAUGAAGCAUUUAACAAGCCAUGUACAGAAUAUAAUUUUGUGAAUAACAGAGACCUGUUUGACCUGUACAUAUUUAUAUUACCCUCAGCAUGAAUAUGAAACUUUAAGCACAAUAUUCUAGAAAGAAGAGUUCAACUUCUGUUUUAUUGGUCAAUAUUUUGUAUGUCCAUCCAAGCUUUCCAUUUGUGAACUUGCUGAGUCUCUACCUCUGCUAAGUUUGCCUGUCCAAAUCCAUAGUAAAACAUACACUGUAAGCAGGGAAAUAAUGUGCCAUGUCACAACAACAUAGGAAAAAACAAUCAACAAACCCAGCUAUUCUGCUGGCAAAGGAAGAUCACUGAAAAAGUUGAAUUCUCCACCUCUGUUGCUGAAGAGAGUUUAUAUGGGACUUGCAUUAAUUUUAACUUACAGUAAUGACUUUGUAAACUCAGAAAUAAAACAAUGAAAUAA